rnacentral:rRNA from 1 species
GGCUGCCUAAUACAUGCAAGUCGAGCGAACAGACGAGGAGCUUGCUCCUUUGACGUUAGCGGCGGACGGGUGAGUAACACGUGGGUAACCUACCUAUAAGACUGGGAUAACUUCGGGAAACCGGAGCUAAUACCGGAUAAUAUUUCGAACCGCAUGGUUCGAUAGUGAAAGAUGGCUCUGCUAUCACUUAUAGAUGGACCUGCGCCGUAUUAGCUAGUUGGUAAGGUAACGGCUUACCAAGGCAACGAUACGUAGCCGACCUGAGAGGGUGAUCGGCCACACUGGAACUGAGACACGGUCCAGACUCCUACGGGAGGCAGCAGUAGGGAAUCUUCCGCAAUGGGCGAAAGCCUGACGGAGCAACGCCGCGUGAGUGAUGAAGGUCUUCGGAUCGUAAAACUCUGUUAUUAGGGAAGAACAAACGUGUAAGUAACUGUGCACGUCUUGACGGUACCUAAUCAGAAAGCCACGGCUAACUACGUGCCAGCAGCCGCGGUAAUACGUAGGUGGCAAGCGUUAUCCGGAAUUAUUGGGCGUAAAGCGCGCGUAGGCGGUUUUUUAAGUCUGAUGUGAAAGCCCACGGCUCAACCGUGGAGGGUCAUUGGAAACUGGAAAACC